GGCCUAAUGGUGUAAUGGAACGCACUCCGACAUGGUAAAGUCGAGCACCGUCAUUCUGGGGGGUCCGGAGUUCAAGUCUCCGUUAGGCCG